ACCAAGUUUGCCGAUGGCUGCGGUCACCUCUGUUCAUAUUGCCAAACGAAAUUCUGUGCUAGGUGUGGAGGACGAGUGUCUCUGCGGUCAAAUAAGGAGGACAAAGUGGUAAUGUGGGUAUGCAACUUGUGCCGAAAACAACAAGAAAUCCUCACCAAAUCGGGGGAGUGGUUCUACAGCUCAGGGCCUGGUCAAGUGUUUGAGGGUGGGCCGCAAGGAAAAAAGGCCAAACUGCAAGACCCAUCCCUAUACCCCUACCAGGGAGCCUCAGGAGACUUGACAACAACAUCAGACAGAAGCAGACCUCACGGCGGCCUCCUACCUAGACAGGCAUCACUUGACAAUGGUACAGGACUAAGGUACUCGGGACCUGGUGACACACCCAU